GAUAAACGCGGCGGUGUACAUAAGACAUGCAAGUCGAACGGGAGAAGACAGGAAGAUUUAUCUACUUGUUGGACACCGUGGCGGACGGGUGAGUAACACGUAAGCAACCUGCCUAUAAGAGGGGAAUAACAGUGAGAAAUUACUGAUAAUACCGCAUAAGCUGGAGGUAUCGCAUGAUACAUUCAGAAAAGAUUUAUCGCUUAUAGAUGGGCUUGCGUCUGAUUAGCUAGUUGGUGAGAUAACAGCUCACCAAGGCGACGAUCAGUAGCCGGAUUGAGAGGUUGAACGGCCACAUUGGGACUGAGACACGGCCCAGACUCCUACGGGGAGGCAGCAGUCGGGGAAUAUUUGCACAAUGGGAGGGAAAACUCUGAUGCAAGUGACCACCCGCGUAAUAGGAAAG
rnacentral:rRNA from 1 species